CACGUAGGCACCAAGCGUUGUCCGGAUUUAUUGGGCGUAAAGAGCUCGUAGGCGGUUCAGUAAGUCAGGUGUGAAAUCUUUGGGCUUAACCCAAAGCGUGCAUUUGAUACUGCUGUGACUUGAGUUCGGUAGGGGAGUGGGGAAUUCCUAGUGUAGCGGUGAAAUGCGUAGAUAUCGUAAGGAAGACCAGUGGCGAAGGCGGGUCUCUGGACAGUUCCUGACGCUGAGGCACGAAGGUCAGGGGAGCAAACGGG
rnacentral:rRNA from 1 species